AGAGGCGAACGGGUUAGUAACACGUAGAUACAAACCCUAGAAACAGGCAUAACUCGGAGAAAUCCGAGCUAAUACCUGAUAGUCCCGCAAGGGUAAAGGUGAAGAGCAAUCUUUUCCGUUCUAGGAUUGGUCUGCGGCCUAUCAGCUAGUUGGUGGGGUAAUGGCUCACCAAGGCUAUGACGGGUAGGGGAUGUGAGAGCAUGUUCCCCAACAAGGGCACUGCGACACGGGCCCUACUCCUAAGGGAGGCAGCAGUCGAGAAUAUUGGUCAAUGGGCGCAAGCCUGAACCAGUGACGCCGCGUGCUUGAAGAAACCCUUCGGGGCGUAAAGAGCUUUUCUCCGUGAAGAACUUUCGGGUGACAUUAACGGAGGAAUAAGGGGGUGCUGACUCUGUGCCAGCAGCAGCGGUAAUACAGAGCCCCCGAGCGUUAUCCGGAUUUAUUGGGCGUAAAGGGUCCGUAGGCGGCUAGGAAAGUCUCUGGUUAAAUACCCAGGGCUCAACCUUGGGGAUGCUAGAGAUACUAUCUAGCUAUAGAGGGCGUUAGAGGCUGAUGGAACGGUCGGUGUAGGGGUAAAAUCCGUUGAUAUCGACCGGAACACCGAAAGCGAAGGCAUUCAGCUGGGGCGACCCUGACGCUGAGGGACGAAAGCGUGGGGAUCAAAAAGGAUUAGAUACCCUUGUAGUCCACGCUGUAAACGAUGGACACUAGCUAUCUGAAGUGUCGACCCUUCGGGUGGCGAAGCUNACGCGUUAAGUGUCCCGCCUGGGAAUUACGGNCGCAAGGCUAAAACUCAAG
rnacentral:rRNA from 1 species